CCUACGGGAGGCAGCAGUGAGGAAUAUUGGUCAAUGGGCGCUAGCCUGAACCAGCCAAGUAGCGUGAAGGAUGACUGCCCUAUGGGUUGUCAACUUCUUUUAUAUUGGAAUAAAGUGCAGUAUGUAUACUGCUUUGCAUGUACCUUAUGAAUAAGGAUCGGCUAACUCCGUGCCAGCAUCCGCGGUAAUACGGAGGAUCCGAGCGUUAUCCGGAUUUAUUGGGUUUAAAGGGAGCGUAGGCGGGUUGUUAAGUCAGUUGUGAAAGUUUGCGGCUCAACCGUAAAAUUGCAGUUGAAACUGGCGUUCUUGAGUGGGCGAGAAGUAUGCGGAAUGCGUGGUGUAGCGGUGAAAUGCAUAGAUAUCACGCAGAACUCCGAUUGCGAAGGCAGCAUACCGGCGCCCAACUGACGCUGAAGCACGAAAGCGUGGGUAUCGAACAGGAUUAGAUACCCGGGUAGUC
rnacentral:rRNA from 1 species